CAGCCCUCCGAUCGAAGGAACGCCCCUCCGCCUCCGAGGAAUCCGCACAACCUUUCGUUUCUUUGUUGCGAGCGAUUUCGCUUCCCCUCCGUGCGAUCACUUCCUGCAUCCGAAAAUCGUGCUUCUCUGCCGCUCCCAUCACCUCACCAAUCACGGAGGCACACCACUCAGAUAUACAUCCUCCUCAUCGCAAACCGCAGGCAUCAUCAGGCGUGGUGGCUGUCUUCAGUCUUCACCGUAGUGCGGCGCGCCGUCGAGUCCCACGCCGCCGGCCUCGAAUCCUCUCGAUUACCGCGCCGGGGUCGCUGUCCUGCUGAGUGCCAAAGCAUCAACGAGCGCGUACUUGAUCGAGUGCCAACUGCCGCAGCCACAGGUUGAACGGAUCCGGCGACGUCCAGCGCUGACCAAAAAUCGGAUGGAAGGGGAAGAAGAAUAGAAAUUCAGUUGCUAGAGAAAAUGAUUGGACUAUAAAAGAGGAAUCCAAAUGGGUAUAGUUGCGACUCCAUGAUGAUUCGGCAGUCAAGAAUUAGUUUCAGGUUUCUACUCUUCAGGUAUGGCAACUCGUUUUAGGUCGAUCUAUCUCACUUUGCUUCCAAGGAUGUGAAUUUAGAGAUUCAGAGUUUUUUUAUUUAAGAUGAGUUUAUUAGCAUGGUGUGGUUCUUGGGGUUCUAGAUGGAGGAUGAGUGUAUCAGUGAUUAUUUUGCAGCCUAGAAUGGCACCUCUCGGUGUUAACAGUAGUUACAGAGUGACAAACAAACUCAGUAUUGCUUAUUAGAUUGGUUGGAGCAUAGCUGGCAGAAUUAGUCCUUUAGUUUCCAGUGUAGUACCUUUGACAGGAUGCAGUUUCUCAUGAUAAUUUUCCUCCCUGCUAAUGCCUACUUUUGUUGCUGUGUUCGAAACAUAUUACAAGUUAGGGUAAUAAACAUUGUGGCUCCCUUUGAACUCAAUCUAGCCAGUUUGUAUGAUAUAGUCUAUUCUAAAUUUUGUUGUUUUUUCUUACAUAGUAUCUUUGCACUUGAAACCAGGGAGUUCUCACUGAAUUUUUAAACUUGAUAUUGAGAAGGAUUUUAUACUUGCUGACCUUGGCAUACUGCAUCUGGUGACCUGACAUUAGGACUAGCGGCUGCAUACUACAUCUGUGUUUAUUGUAGUUUAGUGCCAUCAUAUUGUUCUUCAUAAGCAAAAUCUUGUCUUUUUCUUCACUUCGGUGGCUGAAUGCACAUAUGCCUAACAGCAUGUGAUCGUGUCCUUUUUCAGGUGUUUUCCCAUCCUAAAAGAGACUUUAAAAUGCUUCCAUCUGUUACUAAUGGUUUUUAUACACUCCUUAGAUUUAAUUUUUGCAAAUGGAGUCUGCAACACGAUCUGGUGAACGCACUCUGUUCAAAGACCUAUCCAACUCCAUCACAAGUAAUAUUUAUCAGACAAUGUCUAGAUGUCCUGUUUAAUACAAGGUAUAUCAAGUUCUACUGCUUAAAUGGAAAAUAGUGGUAGAUGCAAAGCCAUAUUACUGCCCCUUCACAGUGAAAAGAAACUUGAACAAUAUACUGGAAAGCAGGCACUACAAAUUCUACUUUAUUUGAUUACGGUGCAAGCCCAGUUUGGGUUGGAUACUGACAUGCAGGUGGGAACUGUUGCGUCAAAAUGUGCAAGGUUCCUGAUUAAAGCACUAUUAAAAAAAUAAUAGGCGUGAGAAGGGCUUGGAGAUCUGGAGUAUGGACAAAAGAGGCACGACAACACAAAAUUGCUGAAGUUAAUUAGGUUACAUUGUUGUGCGGAAGUUUCCAUAUCUCAUCGAAAUAACUAUUAGGUCGAUAUAGUUUUUCCGCUCCUUUUAUUGCGUCAAUUUUUUGGCUCCCGUGGCACGGGUAAAUGGUUGUAGACACUAUUGAUUUGUUAAUAGUCUGUACCUCUUGCCCAUAGCAACACACAGGCAUUGAUUU